CAGACCUAUAAUCGGAAAAGACUACCCGCUGAGU
rnacentral:rRNA from 2 species